UACGAAGGGAGCUAGCGUUGUUCGGAAUCACUGGGCGUAAAGCGCACGUAGGCGGAUGUGUCAGUCAGGGGUGAAAUCCCGGAGCUCAACUUCGGAACUGCCUUUGAUACAGCACGUCUUGAGUCCGAUAGAGGUGGGUGGAAUUCCUAGUGUAGAGGUGAAAAUUCGUAGAUAUUAGGAAGAAACAACCGGGUGGACGAAGGCGGCCCAAC
rnacentral:rRNA from 1 species